GAGAUGCUAUAUGAGAAAUGGAAAACCUGCAACAGGCUCAAAGUGGAUCUCUUCAGAGAAAUUGUCCGCCAGUAUCCUGUGUUCUGUUUCAUUGUACUGUUUCUUCUGUUAUCCACUGUUCUUUUAAACAGGUAUCUUCAUAUUUUGAUGAUUGUUUGGUCAUUCCUGGCUGGAGUUGACACAUUUUACUGCUCAUUAGGACCAGAGUCUCUUCUGCCUAAUAUCCUGUUCACAAUCAAGCCUAAACCUAAGAAUCUAGAGCUGCAAGAGUUAUUUCCCCUGGGGCACAGCUGUGCAGUCUAUGGGAAAAUAAAAUGUAAACAUCACAGGUAUGUGGGAUUUGAUUUAACUGUGCUGUACUGUUAAAAACGGUGUUUGUUUUGGCUGUUAAGUCAAUGCUGUGAGCUAUGAUGAGACUUUCAAGAGAUUUCCUAAAUGUAUAUACAGCUCUGGCCAAAAGUUUUGCAUCACCCUAUAGAAUGAACUCAUUUUGCUUCAUAAAAUCGAAUCAAACCUGGGCCCAAUUAUUUUUGUUUUUAGAUAAAUGUCAGUUUUCUUGUCUGGAAGAUCAUUUCUUUAUCUCCUUCUUACAGACCAACACUGCUGCUUGAAAAGUGUCAACCAUGGUUGGACCUGAAAGUAUUCUCAAAAGUGGACACGUCACUUUCAGAGGUACAGACGUGCUCAAAUUUGUUGGUACCCCUACAGCUCAUUGAAAUAAUGCUUCAUUCCUCCUGAAAAGUGAUGAAAUUAAAAGCUAUUUUAUCAUGUAUACUUGCAUGCCUUUGGUAUGUCAUAGAAUCAAGCAAAGAAGCUGUGAAAAGAGAUGAAUUAUUGCUUAUUCUACAAAGAUAUUCUAAAAUGGCCUGGACACAUUUGUUGGUACCCCUUAGAAAAGAUAAUAAAUAAUUGGAUUAUAGUGAUAUUUCAAACUAAUUAGUUUCUUUAAUUAGUAUCACACAUGUCUCCAAUCUUAUAAUUAGUCAUUCAGCCUAUUUAAAUGGAGAAAAGUAGUCACUGUGCUGUUUGGUAUCAUUGUGUGCACCACACUGAACAUGGACCAGAGAAAGCAAAGGAGAGAGUUGUCUGAGGAGAUCAGAAAGAAAAUAACAGACAAGCAUGGUAAAGGUAAAGGCUACAAGACCAUCUCCAAGCAGUUUGAUGUUCCUGUGACAACAGUUGCAAAUAUUAUUAAGAAGUUUAAGGUCCAUGGAACUGUAGUCAACCUCCCUGGGCGUGGCCGCAAGAGGAAAAUCGACCCCAGAUUGAACAGAAGGAUAGUGUGAAUGGUAGAAAAAGAACCAAGGAUAACUGCCAAAGAGAUACAAGCUGAACUCCAAGGUGAAGUUACGUCAGUUUCUGAUCGCACCAUCCGUCGCUUUUUGAGCGAAAGUGGGCUCCAUGGAAGAAGACCCAGGAGGACUCCACUUUUGAAAGAAAAACAUAAAAAAGCCAGACUGGAAUUUGCUAAAAUGCAUAUUGACAAGCCACAAUCCUUCUGGGAGAAUGUCCUUUGGACAGAUGAGUCAAAACUGGAGCUUUUUGGCAAGUCACAUCAGAUCUAUGUUCACAGAUGAAAAAAUUAAGCUUUCAAAGAAAAGAACACCAUACCUACAGUGAAACAUGGAGGAGGCUCGGUUAUGUUUUGGGGCUGCUUUGCUGCGCCUAGCACAGGGUGCCUUGAAUCUGUGCAGGGCACAAUGAAAUCUCAAGACUAUCAAGGCAUUCUGGAGCGAAACGUACUGCCCAGUGUCAGGAAGCUCUGUCUCAGUCGCAGGUCAUGGGUCCUCCAACAGGAUAAUGACCCAAAACACACAGCUAAAAGCACCCAAGAAUGGAUAAGAACAAAACAUUGGACUAUUCUGAAGUGGCCUUCUAUGAGUCCUGAUCUGAAUCCUAUCGAACAUCUAUGGAAAGAGCUGAAACUUGCAGUCUGGAGAAGGCACCCAUCAAACCUGAGACAGCUGGAGCAGUUUGCUCAGGAAGAGUGGGCCAAACUACCUGUUAACAGGUGCAGAAGUCUCAUUGAGAGCUACAGAAAACGUUUGAUUGCAGUGAUUGCCUCUAAAGCAGUAGUGUGGAGUAGUGGUUAGGGCUCUGGACUCUUGACCGGAGGGUCGUGGGUUCAAUCCCCAGUGGGGGACACUGCUGUUGUAUCCUUGAGCAAGGUACUUUACCUAGAUUGCUCCAGUAAAAACCCAACUGUAUAAAUGGGUAAUUGUAUGUAAAAAUAAUGUGAUAUCUGUAUAAUGUGAAAUAAUGUAUAAUGUGAUAUGUUGUAACAAUUGUAAGUCGCCCUGGAUAAGGGCGUCUGCUAAGAAAUAAAUAAUAAUAAUAAAGGUUGUGCAACAAAAUAUUAG